rnacentral:sRNA from 12 species
GCCGGGCUGUUGUAAAACUCCAAGCCAAUGGAGUUUCCCGAUUACGGGUUGACAGCAAGCGGUAUCAUGCUGGAAAGCAGGGAUGCCGCGGAAACAGCCGGGAUACCGGCAAA